GGGAGGCAAGAUGUUGGCAUAGCUGAUGAGUUAAGAACCUGCUAUGCCAACAUAUUGCCCU
rnacentral:miRNA from 1 species